AUGGCAUAACGAGGGCUUAACUGUCUCCUUUUUCCAGUCAAUGAAAUUGAUUUCCCCGUGCAGAAGCGGGGAUAAAAACAUAAGACGAGAAGACCCUAUGGAGCUUUAGACACUAAAAUGGCCUAUGUCAAUAACCCCAAGAAAAAGGGAAGAACCAAAUAGAACCCACCUUGAUGUCUUUGGUUGGGGCGACCGCGGGGAAAUAAAUAACCCCCACGUGGAGUGGGAGCACCUCCUCCUAAAACUAAGAGUAACAACUCUAAUGAACAGAAUUUCUGACCAAAAAGAUCCGGCAGUGCCGAUCAACGGACCUAGUUACCCUAGGGAUAACAGCGCAAUCCUCUUUUAGAGCCCAUAUCGACAAGAGGGUUUACGACCUCGAUGUUGGAUCAGGACAUCCUAAUGGUGCAGCCGCUAUUA
rnacentral:rRNA from 1 species